UCCCUGGUAGCUCAGAGGUUAAAGUGUCUGUCUGCAGUACGGGAGACCCGGGUUCAAUCCCUGGGUAGGGAA
rfam:TPA: Bos taurus chromosome 6, whole genome shotgun sequence.